rnacentral:rRNA from 1 species
CACGUAGGGGGCGAGCGUUGUCCGGAUUCAUUGGGCGUAAAGGGCGCGCAGGCGGCCCGGAAAGUCGGAUGUGAAAACUCGAGGCUCAACCUCGAGCGUGCACCCGAUACUGCCGGGCUUGAGGCAGGUAGGGGAGAUCGGAAUUCCUGGUGUAGCGGUGAAAUGCGCAGAUAUCAAGAGGAACACCGGUGGCGAAGGCGGAUCUCUGGGCCUGUCCUGACGCUGAGGCGCGAAAGCUAGGGGAGCGAACAGG